rnacentral:rRNA from 1 species
GCCAGACUCCUACGGGAGGCAGCAGUGGGGAAUAUUGCACAAUGGGGGGAACCCUGAUGCAGCGACGCCGCGUGAGGGAAGAAGGUUUUCGGAUUGUAAACCUCUGUCCUCUGUGACGAUAAUGACGGUAGCAGAGGAGGAAGCCACGGCUAACUACGUGCCAGCAGCCGCGGUAAUACGUAGGGGGCAAGCGUUAUCCGGAAUUACUGGGUGUAAAGGGAGCGUAGACGGUGAAGUAAGUCUGGAGUGAAAGGCGGGGGCCCAACCCCCGGACUGCUCUGGAAACUAUUUGACUGGAGUGCAGGAGAGGUAAGCGGAAUUCCUAGUGUAGCGGUGAAAUGCGUAGAUAUUAGGAGGAACACCAGUGGCGAAGGCGGCUUACUGGACUGUAACUGACGUUGAGGCUCGAAAGCGUGGGGAGCAAACAGGAUUAGAUACCCGAGUA